CAAUAGCGUAUAUUUAAGUUGUUGCAGUUAAAAAGCUCGUAGUUGGAUUUCGGAUGGGACUUGCCGGUCCGUCGUUUCGAUGUGCACUGGCCAGUCCUAUCUUGUUGUCGGGGACUAGCUCCUGGGCUUCACUGUCCGGGACUAGGAGCUGACGAGGUUACUUUGAGUAAAUUAGAGUGUUCAAAGCAAGCCUACGCUCUGAAUACAUUAGCAUGGAAUAACACAAUAGGACUCUGGCUUAUCUUGUUGGUCUGUGAGACCAGAGUAAUGAUUAAGAGGGACAGUCGGGGGCAUUCGUAUUUCAUUGUCAGAGGUGAAAUUCUUGGAUUUAUGAAAGACGAACUUCUGCGAAAGCAUUUGUCAAGGAUGUUUUCAUUAA
rnacentral:rRNA from 1 species